rnacentral:rRNA from 1 species
GACGAACGCUGGCGGCGUGCCUAAUACAUGCAAGUUGAGCGAUGAAGAUUGGUGCUUGCACCAAUUUGAAGAGCAGCGAACGGGUGAGUAACGCGUGGGGAAUCUGCCUUUGAGCGGGGGACAACAUUUGGAAACGAAUGCUAAUACCGCAUAACAACUUUAAACAUAAGUUUUAAGUUUGAAAGAUGCAAUUGCAUCACUCAAAGAUGAUCCCGCGUUGUAUUAGCUAGUUGGUGAGGUAAAGGCUCACCAAGGCGAUGAUACAUAGCCGACCUGAGAGGGUGAUCGGCCACAUUGGGACUGAGACACGGCCCAAACUCCUACGGGAGGCAGCAGUAGGGAAUCUUCGGCAAUGGACGAAAGCCUGACCGAGCAACGCCGCGUGAGUGAAGAAGGUUUUCGGAUCGUAAAACUCUGUUGGUAGAGAAGAACGUUGGUGAGAGUGGAAAGCUCAUCAAGUGACGGUAACUACCCAGAAAGGGACGGCUAACUACGUG